rnacentral:Y_RNA from 1 species
GGCUGGUCCAAAGGUAGUGAGUUAACUCACUCGAUUGUUCACAGUUACAGAUUGAACUCCUUGUUCUACUACUUUCCCCCCUUCUCACUACUGCACUUCACUAGCAUUUA